AGAGCCGAUGGAAAUCGGAACAGCGCGCGCGCGCGCAGUUUCAAAGCCCAGUGAGGGGGGAAGAAGGAUGGAAAAGGCGCCCGGAAAUGCUAUCUCUGCCAACAGCCAGGGCACUUUGCCAGAGUCUGCCCCCAGAGGAAGGAAUGGCAAGGGAUGGUGGGAGCUGUGGAGGGAAGAGAGGAAAAAUACCGGAGCAACUAAAAGCCAACGCCUGGCUGCCAUUGUCGGGGCACAGCAGCCAGGCCAAAGAGCAGUGAAAGUGCCCACUCCAGAACCUCCUAAACCCGCCCUAGUGAUAGAAGUGACACUAGAGCUGCCAAACGGACACCCUCUAAAGAUAAAGGCGCUGUUGGACUCAGGCAGCUCCUGCAAUUUCAUGAGCAAAGAGUUUGCAGCUGAACACCAGAUACAGACGCUCCCUUUAAGCAACCCCCUGCAGGUAACCACGAUCGAUGGCAGGGAGCUGUUGGGAGGAGAAGUCAGCUUGCAGACCGUCCCAAUGAUAAUGAAGGUGGCAAGGCACACCGAACUAAUAGCAUUUAAUGUGGCCACCUUGGGAGGAGCUCCCAUUAUAUUGGGGAUGAGCUGGCUAGCGUUACAUGAUCCGCUGGUGGGCUGGCAUCAAAGAGUGGUUUCUUUUGGGUCAGCACAUUGCUUAGAACAUUGCAAAGAGGGAAGGGUUUUGGCAGGGGCCCAAGCCACUCUAGCAGGGACUGAAGUGACGGAGAACGUGAAGGUACCACGACAAUACGCAGAUCUCCGCGACGUCUUCAGCGAAAGGGAAGCUGACCAACUACCACCGCAUAGAGCCUUUGACUGUCAAAUCAAUUUGCUCCCUGGGGCACAGCUCCCUGUGGGCAAGCUGUACGCCAUGUCAGACAGAGAGAUGCAGGAGCUAAGAGAGUUCAUUGACAAGAACCUGAAGAGAGGGUUCAUCAGAGAGUCCAGGGCGGUGGUGGGGGCAGCCCAGUGUUUUUGUGGACAAAAAAACACGAACAAGCCGAGACUGGUGUGUGACUUCAGGGCCUUAAAUGCAGUGUCAGAACCAGUGGCCUUCCCGAUGCCCAGGAUUGACGACAUUUUGACAAGGGUGCGGAAGGGAAAGAUUUUUACCAAGCUGGAUCUAAGGGGGGCGUACAACCUGAUACGAAUAAGGAAGGGGGAUGAAUGGAAAACCACCAUGUUCACCCCUUUAGGGGCAUUUGAAUACUUAGUUAUGCCCUUCGGUCUACAAGCAGGCUCCGCAACAUUUCAAUCGUUUAUGAACCACGUCCUGGGGCCGUUGCUUUACAAGAAUUGUGUGGCCUUCUUAGACGACGUGUUGGUGUAUUCUGAGAAUGAGGAGCAGCAUGUGAGAGACGUCAGAGAAGUGUUGAGCAGGCUGCAAGCCAACCAGCUGUGGGUGAAACUGGAGAAGUGUCAGUUUCAUACCAAGGAGGUGGAAUUCCUGGGGUAUCGCCUGUCUGACAAGGGGUUGGCCAUGGAUCCCGACAAGGUCCAGGCGGUACUGGAAUGGAAAACACCCAAAACAAGGAAGGAUGUGCAGAGGUUUUUAGGGUUUGGGAACUUCUAUCGUAAGUUCAUCCCAAACUUUGCCCACCUGACGGCGCCCAUUACGGACUGUCUCAGCAGUAAGAAGAAGUUCGUUUGGACGGAGGAGGCGGAGCAAGCAUUUGAGGAACUAAAAGGGCCUUCGCCUCGGAACAACAGCUCCUGCAUGUGGAUUUACAAAAACCGAUGAGAGUGGAAACUGACGCAUCAGACAGAGCGGUUGGGGCGGUGCUUCUCCAGCCAGGGAAGGAGGAGUCAGAGUGGAGACCGUGUGCUUUUUUCGCGAAAGCUGAACAAAUCCGAGAGGAACUACACGGUGUAUGACCGAGAACUACUAGCCAUUCAUGAGGCGUUCCGGAGAUGGAGGCACCUGCUAAUUGGCGCACAACAUAAGGUGCAAGUGUGCACUGACCACAAGAACCUAGAGUAUUGGAGGACGGCACGAGUGCUCAACCAACGGCAAGUGAGAUGGGCCCAGGAAUUCUCCAAAUUUAACUUUGAGAUUUGUUACGUGCCAGGCCCAGAGAACAUUAGGGCGGACGCUCUCUCACGCAAACCUGAAUAUUGGGAGUGGGAGGGAGCACCCGAAGAGAGACAUGUCAUUCCAGAGGACCGCUGGGUGUGUGGGGCGGCAUUGGUGGGACAAAGAGAACUGGUAG